rnacentral:lncRNA from 1 species
GGUCUUCGCUCAGCAGUGACGGGAAGAAGGCACCAGGCGCUUGAAACCCCGAAUCCUGAAACCCUGCCCAGUCCUGUCCAAGGGGCCAGGUCCAAGUGACCCACCAGCGCAACCUCCAGCUCAGAAGCGACCCGAGUACACCAGGCUGCCCACCAAAUACAACCCUGGAGCCCACACGCCUGGGCCCUGGAAUUCCAAAGGGACGGGCGUGUGUAAGUGCUGGGGCAGGAGGGGGGGCACAGCCGGUGGGGAGUGCGCGGAAGAACCACGCAGGUCACCUCCCCAAGGAGAUCGACAGUCCCGUCUGGUCACUGAGACGCUAGCUACCGCUGACCCUCCCUCCAACACAGCCACCCCGAGUCCCCACCCAGCAGCAUCUUGGACCCUGGUUAGAAAUGCCGACUCCCAAUAAGCCAGUCAUUCAACCAACACCUUAAACUGACACAGGUCAACUACACCUGCAGGAAGAAAUGAAGGUUUCCAGGCGCCACCCAGAACUAAUGCGAAAGAAACCCCUCUGGGUCGAGCCCUGCAGUCUGUGCGUUGGCUCUCACCAAAGGGAACAGGCGCUGUGCGCGGAAUUCUGGAAGAAGGGUGACGCCAAAGCAAGGGAGGCCUGAGAAACCUUCCUGCUAUGAGGAUCUGAAUGAAAUCACUCCUUAUCACCACCCCGCCCCCCGGAGCAAAAGUCAGUCUCUGGAGCAGAGCCUCAGAUCCCAGGUCUAACUUUAGCUUUACCUACUGCAAAGAAAUAAUAAAAGAGUCAAAUCUGACUCAAGAUUUACUACAAUUAUCCGCACCUCUGUGAGAGGACCUAAACAAAUUAAACUGUUCAAAGUGAUGAAGGCAACGGGAAACAAGAACCUGGAUCUUUAAAAAAAUACACAAAUGGUCUCCUCCCUCCCCCUUCACUAUCUUCCUUCUCUUCAAUUACUCAAGUAGACUAGCAACUGUUUCUCUCAGGAAAACUCUUGACUCUAAGUCUGAAUGUGAAAACCUUGUGGUUAAGCCCUGGCUUGCAGCAGACUAAAAAUUUCAGCAAUUCUGGAAUGAAAUGUUAUGUUCAGAGCAACACGAAGCACCGCAGCUGUUCCAGCCAACACGAAAACCGAAAGGGGUGAUGCUAUCUUUAUCCUCUACCUACAGGCAGGGCUGCCCGGGGACCAGCUCAGUCCUAGGCUGCUAAAGCACAGGGACAGGAGCAGCAAAGGAGCACAGGGGCCAGCUGAGCCACCUAAGCGGCCACACACAACAGACCCACCUGGAAGAGAGAAAAUGCAGUUCAUCACCACAAACUUGAAAACGAUGCAAGGAAACACAGCUGCUUGAAAAGCCGUUCUCAAUGCUGCUUGGAAAAUCCUUUUCAAUCAGCUCGAAACUCAAAAAGAUCAGAUUGCAUCUAACUCGACCUGAAUUGCCCAAGUGGAAGGAGACCCCUUUUAUCCAUUUUCUUGGGAAAAAAGACACAGUCGUCUAUUCACACUCAGAAAGCUCGUCUUGAGACCACCUCGUGGAAGCAGCCCCAGAGGCGCGUCUUAGCAGACAGAUGAUGAUGGAAACUGGAAGAAGACUCAGAAGGGACGGGGCUGAGAACAGGGCACUCUCACGGCCAAAGCUUGCCCACCGGUUAACGGAGGAAAGUGCUCCUGGUGUGACGGACCCAGGGCCCGCUGAGCAAACACCUCCCACCAGCAACCUCGUUCGGCCUCUGCCAGGCCCUGCUCGGGUCUAAGCGCCUGGGCCGCACGACUGCCUGGCACACACCCCCAGGACUGGCCACGGCCGUCACAGCCCACAACACACGCAAACCACCAACGAAUGAAGCUGUGGUGAGGGGGCGCAGCUCGCCGGGGCACUGCCACCAACACCCCACGCUUCCUGCUCAUUCGGGCAGACUGUCUCCAUUCCGGAGAAAGUGGAAAAACUUCCACAGGGUUGCUACCCUGUGAUGGGCAGGCAGCAUCGCACCACAGGGAAGGAGUGGACGCCAGGGGCUGCACUGCUCGGGUUCGAAUCCUGCCUCUUCCCCUCCUCUGCCGCGGCGGCACUGCUCCUGGUUACAGAGCCUCUCUGCCUCAGGUCCCCCACCUGCAGAGGCGGGGUGCGGGCCGCUGCGAAGCAGGUACAUACAGUCUGGGACCUCGUGCAAACGCCCCACGUGCCUGCUGUUCCCAGCACGGCUCCCACUGAGCAUCCCGUGCUGUGCAGGCCCAGCAACAAGCGCACAGCAGCACUUUAGGGCUGAUCCACCACCAGUUCAACAGGUGCUGAAGACAUUCGGUUCCCCCAAGACGGUGGUUCUCAAACUUUAGCAGCAAGCAUCCAGAGCGACAACCGCAACAGAUUUCUGGGCCCCGCCUCCAGUUUCUGACUCAGAAGGUCGGGGGUGGGGCCUAAGAAUUUGUGUUUCUAACAAGAUCCCAGGUGAUGGUGCUGCUGCCCAUGCUGGUCUGAGGCUGCAGCCCUCAGAGAAGCACUGCUCUGAGGACCGGUUACUCCUGGUAUUCUGUGCUGCAGGCCUAAGCCUUACCUAGCUUAUUUAUCUGCAGUGAGCCAGGAGGAGAUAAAAUAAGGUGAAUGGCGCAGCAGUUUAUGGCUCAGAGAAUACCCACGUGUUCUUUCACGCCACCUAGCACCCCUGCGCCUCUGCAUGUGGCAGAUCAUGUGAUAUGUUCUGACCAAUGGGCUGUGAGCAAGUUGCGGCCUGCUGGCUCUCUGCUGGCAGCGGAACAUGGAGGGAUGUGUGUGUGCCUGGACUCUGGGUCAGUGCCUGGACUCUGGGUCAGUGCCUGGAAGGGAGCUAUUCUAGAGAGCUGCUGGGCCUUCCCAGGAAAGGCAGCGACAUUCUGUGGGUUGAGCCGCUGAGGUUUUAAAGUUUGUUUGAUAAUUCAGCACAGCUUAGAUGAACCCCAUUAAAACAAUUCCUAUCAUCGUUAUAAAAUGCACCUUCCCAUCGGUCUUCAGUCCAACCUAUCAAACCCAGGUGUUGAUUGUAACAAAAUCAGUUAGCUAGGAUUUCUACCGUCCUCUCAUUCGCUUGGAUUCAACAAAAAGAUGAGUUUUUUCUUUGAUCCUCCCAUAUUGGGUCCAUUUUUCACCAGAUAUAAAAAUUCUUCUCUGCAACAUGAUGUAACAGUUGCCAAUAAUUUGGAAAGUUAAAUAUGCUAAGAAGCGUUGAAAACUUGAAAAGUAAACAAUGAAGGACUCAGACCAAAAGCCCCAUGAAACAAAGUAGGUAUGCACGCGCGCACGCGCGCACACACACACGCACACAAGACAUCAGAAUCCCUUGACAGGCCAGAAGGCAGGCCAGAAGGAAAAGGUUUCAAAUGUAUUAAAUCAUAGGCAAAUUAAGAUCCUGUUUUGCCCAAAGAGGAGAAGGUGAUCUCUUUAUGGUAAAAGCAUCACCACGUAAUCACAAAACCACUUGUUGAAAAAAAAUCCUAAUUUCUAGUCGACCUAGGAAAAUCUGCAACCUAACACGCAGGUGAUGAACUGCCGUCUGCUACCUUCCAGAUUAUGUGGAAUUAAACAUCAUAAAGAUGCUCCUCUUAUAAAAAAAACUGCCACCACCCCCCCCAACACGCACAGCCGAAACAAAAAUGUCAUCUAGAGCAAUUCAACAACUUAAACUAGAAAAUUUAUGAAUUACACAAAAAGAAUUGGGAAGAGGAAAUUUUAAAAUAGGUAGUAAGAGUCACACAGGUCCUUCCGGGUCCCAGGAGCCAAAAGCACUUCUCUGGAGAACCCUCUCCACGGGGACUUCAGCGGAGCAGGCUCCGGGACACAUCGAAAAGCCGGGGGGAUUUCCUGCUAGAAUUCUCCCAAGCCCCUCCCUUCUACAGAGGACAGGAACACACCCACGCACACACUCGAAACCUCAUCUUCCAAGGAGCUCGGCGGCUCUCUGCUCCCCCGCCAGCGCCGGCAGAGCUCCACCGAGACAGAGGACCCCACGGCCCUGGCCUCUCAAGUCCCAAGGCCCCGGAGCGCCUCAUUCUCUGGGUGUGUUACAUUCCACCUCCUGGGGUACCUCCACGUGGCAGGAGGAGGAAAAGGUAAACACUCGUGUGGUGCAUUUGGUCACAUGUUAUAACCUGGCUGUAAAGUCAGAGUGAAAAACAAUAAAAAGGCCCCACGCGAAUUUCUCUAAUACGCUUUAUAGCUGUUCAGCGACUGCUGGAUUUAACUGACAGUGGGGAGGAAAAUGCAGUCUCCACGGAGCCCCCGUGCGGGUCACGCGUGACCUUUCCACUGAGGAGCUAACACCGGGGCCCUUCUCUCAGGACACCAGAGAGAAGAGGAAGGACACGCAGUCGGGUAACAGGGGGUCUGCUAUCCUGCUGGCGCUCUCCCUUAAAGGCCCCUGAAAAUUCCCGGUCACUCAGCAAGAGGACGGUAUGACGCUCGCUCGCUCGCAAUUAUCUGCACACCAGCCUUGCUGUGUGUACAUCUGCAAGAGACAGAAUAGGAACAUCCACAUUUAGAAAAUGAAAGCCACAGAAAAGCGAGCUCAUGUGAUUUCUGCAGGCCAACUCGCUCGGUUUAUUUCUGCCAUCAUCACACUCAUAAUGAGAGAAUCGAGCUGUAAAUGAAGCACCGGGCGGGCGUUUAUAAACAUGACGCUUCACAGAGCCAAAAGUCCCCUUCCAUCACAGACACCCAAAGAGGUUUGUGGCUGCAGACUCCUUCCUAUAGACUGUCCACGUGUCCCGGGUUUAUGUGCGAGCAUCGCAGGGCAGCUCUCUCCUCCGGGCCACCCCCCACAGUCACGGCCACCGUCUAGGUGCAGGACUGCAGCGUGCUUGUGGGCAAAGCUGCUCCCCUCGCACUCGACUCCUGCCGCCUCCUCCGACGUGCACCCAAGCUACUCCGCCAGGCCAUGCAAAUGUCCCAGCCCCAUGAUGUGCAGCUUCGAUGCAGACCUGAGGCUAUGACCCAAACCAGUUCUCGCUAAAUGACUCCCAGGCCAGCACAUCCCACGCAUGCCGAGACUCACUCUCGCCAAGGGAUAGAGACGGCCGGAGCCCGGCUGCUCCGGGGGCUGGUGUGCAGACCGUGGGACUGCCCCAAUCCCUGGGAGACAAGCAGGCAUUGUCCACUUUUCCUUGAAAUUGUGAAAUCCUGGAUAGGACCAGCAUCACGUAACGCUUCACUCCUCCAACAACCUUAAAUCAAUUGACUAAAUUCUCGAUGACCCCCUUUAUAAAUAAGCCAUGUCCCGUAAAAGCCUUUUAGUUGCCUUUUAAAGCAGACCCAGGGCACUUACUUCAAAUGCGAGAUCAGGAUUACCCGAAGGGGGAAAAGCGUUCCCCCAAACCACGGACGCUAUGGACUGAGAUGCUCGUAACUGCCCCACCAACUUCUGGCCUGCCUUUCCAGGACUCUGGGGGCAUCAGGGUCCUGACUGAAAGCGGGCUCCCUUGCUUCCUCCCUGCCGGCCUCCAAGCCCACGGAUGAGCUCCCUGUGCCUCUGAUUCACGGAGGCUGAGCUCUGGGCAGCCAGCAGCUGCUCAAAUCCCUGCCUGGAUGCUUCCUUCCCUGCACCCCAACCCGCCAUCCCCACCUCAACAGGUGUCCCUGCAGCCGGCCUACCCAGCGGAUGCUCUAGGCACAUCAUCUCGACCGGCGCACGGCACUGGGGCAGCCCCACCGGCUCUCCCACAGGACACACGAGCUCUUGCACCCCGCAGACCUCCCUUCGCCAUCCACACCCCAAAGAGUCAGCACGAGACUCGCUCCUUGCUUGCUGGGAAGUAAUGGUUUGCGUUACUUUUCCAUCGGCUGUGAGUAUCUAACAUCCAGAGCACUGGUUCUUAUUUCUCAUGUGUAGUUCAGAUCCAUUUCCUUUUGCUGACAGGGCCACCAACUCUUAACCUUAAGAGAAUACUUCCACCUUCAGCAUGGCAAUCAGGGAAUCGUUUCCAUGGACACCCAGAAGACCAAAUUUCAAAAUUAAUUACCUCUUCAAAAGAAGCAAUUUCUCUUAGUAAAAAGCCAAAACCCAAAACCAAGCAGAAAAGGCCACACCAACCAUUUUGGGGGAUUAACUAACAUUACAGCAAAUCUAAGUGCAUAAAAGACUUAAUUCACUACUGUUAGAAGAUAAUAUGGGAGUACUUAAAAUACACCUAUGAGGGAGUUCCCUGGUGGUUCAGCAGGUUAAGGAUCCACCUUUGCCACUGCUGUGGCACAGGUUUGACCCCUGGCCCCAGAACUUCCAUAUGCCACAGGCGUGGCCAA